rnacentral:tRNA from 1 species
CCCCCCAUAGCUCAGCGGUUAGAGCGUUCGGCUGUAGACCGAAAGGUCCCCGGAAACCCUUAUCAGGGUUUAUCGAACUGUGCGACAUUAGCUCGUGAAAACUCGCUAAAUCCCACGAUAAAAACUCCUGAGGGUUGGGGAAUUCAAAUCUGGGUGGGGGGA